rnacentral:rRNA from 1 species
AUGAGUUCCUGCCUUUCCCAUAUUAUUAGAGAUCAUUCCCUUGAUUUUGUUUGUUUGCAAGAGACUCAUAAGAAGAAGUUUUAGGAUGGUUAUUUUAGGAAAAUUGACCCCAGCACUGCUUUUGAUUGGGAAUGGAUCCCAUCCACGGGGAAAUCUGGGGGGUUACUUUGUGGAGUUAGAAGGGAGAGAUUUGAGGUGGUUGCUUGGAGGAAAGGCAAGUUUAUCCUCCAAGUUAAUGUCUAUGAUAUCAAAAUGAAGAAAGUAUGGACGUUAUGCAAUGUAUAUGGUGCAGCCCACGAUAAAGACAAGCAGGAAUUCCUUGUUGAAUUAGCUGACUUCUGCACUCAUGUGCAAAACCCUUUGUUGAUUGGGGGCGACUUUAAUAUUCUCAGGCAUGAGGGAGAAAAAAAUAAAAACUGGCAUCACUCACCUCACACAGAUAUGUUUAAUUUUGUGAUUAAUGCGAUGUGCCUGAGUGAAAUCCAUUUGAAUGGGGGGCUAUAUACUUGGACCAACAACCAAGCCCAUCAGACCUUGGAAAAGCUAGAUAGAAUCCUUAUGAGCAAUGAUUGGGAAGACCUCUUUCCCCAAGUCAAUCUUAAGAAAAUAGUUAGAGGCAUCUCUGACCAUAAUGCCUUAUGUUGUCCUCGGACAACUCCGUUGUCAGAGUCCCACAACAAAGAGAAUUUAGGUUUGAGAUCAGUUGGCUCAAAUCCGAAGAUUUUCUACCUUUGGUAG